UUGACGGGGCCGCACAAGCGGAGGAACAUGUGGUUUAAUUCGAUGAUACGCGAGGAACCUUACCUGGGCUUAAAUGUAGAGUGCAUUUUUAGAGAUAGAAAUUCCCUUCGGGGCUUUCUGCAAGGUGCUGCAUGGUUGUCGUCAGCUCGUGCCGUGAGGUGUCGGGUUAAGUCCCAUAACGAGCGCAACCCUUAUCGUUAGUUGCCAGCUGGUAAAGCAGGGGACUCUAGCGAAACUGCCACCGUAAGGUGAGAGGAAGGUGGGAUGACGUCAAAUCAGCACGGCCCUUAUGUCCAGGGCUACACACGUGUUACAAUGGCCGGCACAGAGGGCAGCUACCUGGUGACAGGAUGCUAAUCUCGAAAACCGGUCUCAGUUCGGAUCGAAGUCUGCAACUCGACUUCGUGAAGCUGGAUUCGCUAGUAAUCGCGCAUCAGCCAUGGCGCGGUGAAUACGUUCCCGGGCCUU
rnacentral:rRNA from 1 species